rnacentral:rRNA from 1 species
GGGCCCGCACAAGCGGUGGAGUAUGUGGUUUAAUUCGAUGCAACGCGAAGAACCUUACCAGGGCUUGACAUCCUGCGAAUCUCUGGGAAACCGGAGAGUGCCUUCGGGAACGCAGUGACAGGUGGUGCAUGGCUGUCGUCAGCUCGUGUCGUGAGAUGUUGGGUUAAGUCCCGCAACGAGCGCAACCCACGUCUUUAGUUGCCAGCAUUUAGUUGGGCACUCUAGCCAGACUGCCGGUGCAAACCGCGAGGAAGGUGGGGAUGACGUCAAAUCAUCACGGCCCUUACGCCCUGGGCCACACACGUGCUACAAUGGCAGGUACAGCAAGCAGCAAGUUCGCGAGGACAAGCAAAUCCCAUAAACCGUGGCUCAGUUCAGAUCGUAGGCUGCAACUCGCCUACGUGAAGGCGGAAUCGCUAGUAAUCG